rnacentral:rRNA from 1 species
AUAGGAGCUGACGCCUGCCCGGUGCUGGAAGGUUAAGGGGAUCUGUUAGAGCAAUCGAAGCAGUGAACUUAAGCCCCAGUAAACGGCGGCCGUAACUAUAACGGUCCUAAGGUAGCGAAAUUCCUUGUCGGGUAAGUUCCGACCCGCACGAAAGGCGUAACGAUUUGGGCACUGUCUCAACAACAGACUCGGUGAAAUUGGAAUUCCGGUGAAGAUGCCGGAUACCUGCGACAGGACGGAAAGACCCCAUGGAGCUUUACUGUAGCUUGACAUUGGGUCUUGGUACUACAUGUACAGGAUAGGUGGGAGGCUUUGAAACCAGGACGCCAGUUUUGGCGGAGCCAUCCUUGGGAUACCACCCUUGUAGUACUGGGACUCUAACC